GCCCGGUUAGCUCAGUCGGUUAGAGCGCCGCCUUUACACGGCGGAGGUCGUUGGUUCGAGUCCAACACUGGGUA
rnacentral:tRNA from 1 species